rnacentral:rRNA from 1 species
UAAUACGUACUGUGCAAACGUUAUUCGGAAUCACUGGGCUUAAAGGGUGCGUAGGCGGUUGAUUAAGUAGGGUGUGAAAGCUCUCGGCCCAACCGAGGAAUUGCGCUCUAAACUGAUCAACUUGAGUGAGAUAGGGGUGUGCGGAACUUCCAGUGGAGCGGUGAAAUGUGUUGAUAUUGGAAGGAACGCCGGUGGCGAAAGCGGCACACUGGGUCUCAACUGACGCUGAGGCACGAAAGCCAGGGUAGCGAACGGGAUUAGAUACCCCGGUAGUCCUGGCCGUAAACGAUGAGCACUAGACGGGAGGAGCUUCGGCUCAUCCGGUCGUAGCGAAAGCAAUAAGUGCUCCGCCUGGGGAGUAUGGUCGCAAGGCUG